UCUAAAAUACAAAGUUUAACAGAAAACGUGGGCACUUAUAUGCGGGGACUGGAAGAUGAUUUUACACAGGGGACAAAAAUCUAAAGUGGGUGAGUAAGGAGGUGCAGAAUUGAGAUGGGGCCGUUAAGGUGAAGGACAGGAAGUUUAAACUUGAUUGAACUGACAGGCACAGAAGAUGACCUGAGUAGCAACAGUGUUUCCAAUGCUGUUAUUCUGAUUAUGCCUAUAAUCAACAUGUGAACAUUACAAUACACACACAAUGCAACUAGUUGAGACUGAUUGCUGAAGUGCAAGGAAACUGGGUUCAAGAGAAACCUCUCUAUUUACUCCACCCAAACAUCCACAAUCAAGGGGACCACUACACAAUAUUCCUUGCUUGUCUAACAAAACUGACUCAGAGGUCAACUAUCUUAGUUCUUCAGGCCAUACACUUAGGUGCCCAAACCAAAAGACAGUUUGCUGAUUUCCCAUCUCUUACUCUAAUUAGGCUGAAGAGAAGAAGUUUCUGCCUUAGGGAGAUGGCAGUGCCUUUGAUUUAUUGUCCCAAGUGAUCAGAGAUGUGCUCAGAUGCUUUGGGGGAGGGGGAAGGAAGGAAAAAGCCCAAUUCUACCAACUGGGUAAAUUACAAGUACCAUAUUUUGUCAACGUUUUGGUGUGAACCAGUAAGAUAUUUCUGAUGCUGAACUAUGCCCACGAUACCUUAUUUUUAAGUAAUUUUUUGAACAAUGCACUGCUGAACAACAUUCCUAAAAAAUGGAAAGAGCAAUUGAUGAAAGCUAUCACUAGUUGGGUGAAAACUGAUUCUAAUUUCUAAUUUUUCAGGCUCCAAUACAUGCAAUCAUUUACCCAUUGUCCUAGGAAAAAUACAAGGGGUGGUCCCUCAAAGUUUAAGAGCAAAGGUCCAUCUAGCCCAGUAUCCUGUCUUCCGAUAGUGGCCAAUGCCAGGUGUCCCAGAGGGAAUGAACAGAACAGCCAUGCAAGCUUCUAAUUACUUACCAUAGCCGUGAUCUCAUCGAAAGACUGGAGGAACUCAACAAUCUUAGACUUAUGGGAAGGCUCUACACGGGCAAAGCAACGAGCAUGUAGGCAAGCAUCUCUCUGGACAGCUGGGGAAAGUUCAUCAAACUCACGUCCAGUAAAGGCUUUUGAAGAAACAUCCUCAUCUUCUCCAAAGAUACCAAUACGACGACAGAUGGCUACUGCUGUGCCCUUAUUGUCACCAGUAAUCAUAAUAACACGAAUACCAGCCUUCUUACACAACUUUAUGGAUGAGGCUACUUCAGUUCUUGGGGGAUCCAGCAUACCCACACAGCCAACAAAGGUCAAAUUGGUCUGAAACAAGAGGACAUUGAGCUUUAGCACAAAAUAUUAGGAGACGCUUUUAUUUCUUUGGUAGGACAGUACAAAAAUCAUUUUCACAAGCCAAAGUAGCUCAAACAUUAAUUUAUAAGAGGAAAAUAGCAUUUUUAUCCUACAGUAUCUAACAGUUUUUAAUUCAGGCCUCUAUAAACUUGCAUGCCACCCCCGCCAACCCUACCUCGAUGUUUGUUCAAAACUAAUAUGUGACAAGGUUCAGCAAGCAUGCAAUGCACAUCAAGUCAGAUUUUCCCCCACUUAUGGGGCUCUUCCAGACUCAUCUCUGUAUUUUGGCAUACUCAGUCUUCAUGGUAUCUUGCCUCAAAUGUUCAUUUCUUGUACUAUGGUCUGAAUCCAGACCAUUUUGAAAAGCAGACUACAAGCGACACUGAGAAAGGAGAGGAACUGAAAUAGAACUGGGAAUGUUUUGUCUCUGUAAUCCUGACUUUGUUCUAGUGUAGCAUUUUAUGCAGCAUCCUCUGGUUCUGAAACAUAACACUGAGAAGAGUCUCAACGAGUUAAGCAUAUGGAGCAACUUAAAGUGUGUUCCUACCCUGAGAAGUGACUAAAAAUGGCAUUCUGUGUUUCCAAAUGUAUUAUGUCUCUUUGCCUUCAGCUCAAAAGUGCUCAGUUCAUAAGUUAAAAGGUGAUCUAAUUGCCAGCCUUGCAGAUGCCACCUGCACUCAGGGUCAAGUCUUUCUUUCUCAUGCAUACUGCUAGCAAGAGAUUCUCCAAGCCAAAUAAUCUGCAACUUCAACUGUCUUCAAAAAUGAAGUCCUAGUUAUACAUGUAAUUGUACUGAAAUAUAAUGGAGUUGUUCAGAUAGUUGAGGGCAGAAUCUUUACUAAUGAAAAUACAAGAGACGGGAAAGAACCCAGCUUGACCCUCAGAUUCCAAGGUGAGUUUGUAGGACAGGCAAUUAGGAAACACUUGUAAACGGAGAAAAUAAGAGCUUAAAGCAGUAGUUCCCAAACUGUGGAGCAUUUCCCUCCUGGGGGAGAGGGAAAAGCAGGGCGCAGAGGAACGUUCGGAGCAGGUGCGGCAGGGCUCAGGCCAGCCCCCAUGGGGAAUGCCCCUCAGCCCUGCUCUGCCCACAACCCUGGCCUCUGCUCUCAGCUCCGAGGGGGGAGUGACAAAAAGUUUGGAGACCACUGGCUUAAAGUAAGUAACUGAAGCACAAUACACAAUAUCCCCAGUGCGAUUUUUAUGAAUUACUUUUUCCAGAACCAAAAUUUAAAGAGUCUCAGAUACUAUGUUGAUGAGAACUAUAGGUAGUUUGAGAAAUAUAUGUAUUCUGCACCACAACAUUAGCAUUAAUUGCAAAAGACCAGCCUGAAUGGUACCUUACUAAAAACUUAUAAUCAAGUGUCUAUGUAUAGAUCAGCCACCAGAAGCACCAAGAACAAAUAACUUUUAAUCCAGACUCUGCUGGGGGAGUGAUGCCAGGGGGUGAGGGAAUUUAAGAACCCAAAGGAUGCUCCUAAUUUUGGUCCCCUGUAUAUCUCGCACAACUUGCUGUUGCUAAGCCAUUGAGCCAGACCACAUCUAUUAAUUCAGAAAAAGCUUCUGAAGUG